rnacentral:rRNA from 1 species
GAAAAUGAGAGUUUGAUCCUGGCUCAGGAUGAACGCUGGCGGCGUGCCUAAUACAUGCAAGUCGAACGAGUUCUGAUUAUUGAAAGGUGCUUGCAUCUUGAUUUAAUUUUGAACGAGUGGCGGACGGGUGAGUAACACGUGGGUAACCUGCCCUUAAGUGGGGGAUAACAUUUGGAAACAGAUGCUAAUACCGCAUAAAUCCAAGAACCGCAUGGUUCUUGGCUGAAAAGAUGGCGUAAGCUAUCGCUUUUGGAUGGACCCGCGGCGUAUUAGCUAGUUGGUGAGGUAACGGCUCACCAAGGCAAUGAUACGUAGCCGAACUGAGAGGUUGAUCGGCCACAUUGGGACUGAGACACGGCCCAAACUCCUACGGGAGGCAGCAGUAGGGAAUCUUCCACAAUGGACGCAAGUCUGAUGGAGCAACGCCGCGUGAGUGAAGAAGGCUUUCGGGUCGUAAAACUCUGUUGUUGGAGAAGAAUGGUCGGCAGAGUAACUGUUGUCGGCGUGACGGUAUCCAACCAGAAAGCCACGGCUAACUACGUGCCAGCAGCCGCGGUAAUACGUAGGUGGCAAGCGUUAUCCGGAUUUAUUGGGCGUAAAGCGAGCGCAGGCGGUUUUUUAAGUCUGAUGUGAAAGCCCUCGGCUUAACCGAGGAAGUGCAUCGGAAACUGGGAAACUUGAGUGCAGAAGAGGACAGUGGAACUCCAUGUGUAGCGGUGAAAUGCGUAGAUAUAUGGAAGAACACCAGUGGCGAAGGCGGCUGUCUGGUCUGUAACUGACGCUGAGGCUCGAAAGCAUGGGUAGCGAACAGGAUUAGAUACCCUGGUAGUCCAUGCCGUAAACGAUGAAUGCUAGGUGUUGGAGGGUUUCCGCCCUUCAGUGCCGCAGCUAACGCAUUAAGCAUUCCGCCUGGGGAGUACGACCGCAAGGUUGAAACUCAAAGGAAUUGACGGGGGCCCGCACAAGCGGUGGAGCAUGUGGUUUAAUUCGAAGCAACGCGAAGAACCUUACCAGGUCUUGACAUCUUUUGAUCACCUGAGAGAUCAGGUUUCCCCUUCGGGGCGCAAAAUGACAGGUGGUGCAUGGUUGUCGUCAGCUCGUGUCGUGAGAUGUUGGGUUAAGUCCCGCAACGAGCGCAACCCUUAUGACUAGUUGCCAGCAUUUAGUUGGGCACUCUAGUAAGACUGCCGGUGACAAACCGGAGGAAGGUGGGGAUGACGUCAAAUCAUCAUGCCCCUUAUGACCUGGGCUACACACGUGCUACAAUGGAUGGUACAACGAGUUGCGAGACCGCGAGGUCAAGCUAAUCUCUUAAAGCCAUUCUCAGUUCGGACUGUAGGCUGCAACUCGCCUACACGAAGUCGGAAUCGCUAGUAAUCGCGGAUCAGCACGCCGCGGUGAAUACGUUCCCGGGCCUCGUCCCCCCCGCCCGCCCCCCCAGGAGAGUCUUGACCCCCCAAGGCGGGGGGGAGACCCUUUAGGGGGGAGCGCGCCGAGGGGGGGGGGGGGGUUAGGGGGGGGGGGGGACAAGGGAGGCGGAGGGGGGGGCGCGGGGGGGGCCCCCCCCCUCCUAG